rfam:Paenibacillus sp. IHBB 10380, complete genome.
GGAUUUAAGCAGAAGCACCGGCUUCUCACCUGACCGAUUUUAUAUCGGCUGGUAUUUGAUCCAAUGAUUUAUGAAUGUAAUAUUUCAUGAACUAUUGAUCAAUAUGGGAUGCUGGUAGAUUGAACCAGCAUCCCUUUAUUUUGUUU